GUGCCGUUCAAGGCGCUCUGCGGUGAGAAAGGUGGAGACGCAACUUCACACAGGAUGGCUGGCACGUCUGCUCCGCUAACAGGCUCUCUUCCAGGUCAUGAAGUCAGCAGUUUAACACAAGAGAUGCCCACACUUCCCAUUCCCCGGCCACCUUCUCCGGCUCUUCUUUGAGGACACCUGCCCAGCCAAGAGAUAAUCUCUUCUACAUGGUUCAGCAUUGGCGUCUCCUCCCGGUUGAACAAAGAAACAUCUUAAGCUGUUUUAUUAAAAGAAUUAUUUAUUUACGUGAAAAUAGUUACAAAGAACCUAAGUAUUUUACACUGUUUAUAGUAAAAGUCAAAGAUUAGGGUGAAUCUUGUUUUGGUAGCUCCUCUGUAGCUGCCUGUUCAGGAACUUUAAACUUUAAAAUGAUUUAACAUUUCUCUGUUCUCUAUGAAAAUAACUUAUAUUUUCUCAUCUUUUGUUCUCCUUUUACGGUAUAGGAGUGUGGCACAGCGGGCAGCAGUUAUA